rnacentral:rRNA from 1 species
AUUGAACGCUGGCGGCAUGCUUUACACAUGCAAGUCGAACGGCAGCGCGGGCUUCGGCCUGGCGGCGAGUGGCGAACGGGUGAGUAAUGCAUCGGAACGUGCCCAGUAGUGGGGGAUAGCUCGGCGAAAGCCGGAUUAAUACCGCAUACGACCUAAGGGUGAAAGCGGGGGAUCUUCGGACCUCGCGCUAUUGGAGCGGCCGAUGGCAGAUUAGCUAGUUGGUGGGGUAAAGGCCUACCAAGGCGACGAUCUGUAGCUGGUCUGAGAGGACGACCAGCCACACUGGGACUGAGACACGGCCCAGACUCCUACGGGAGGCAGCAGUGGGGAAUUUUGGACAAUGGGCGAAAGCCUGAUCCAGCAAUGCCGCGUGUGUGAUGAAGGCCUUCGGGUUGUAAAGCACUUUUGGCGGGAACGAAAAGGACUGUGCCAAUACCACGGUUCGAUGACGGUACCCGCAGAAUAAGCACCGGCUAACUACGUG